GAUGCCCCCUCCCGCUGCCCUUGGCUGCCGCCCGAGCCCAGCUCCUCAUCGUCGUGCUACCUGAAACCCAGCUCUGCCUCCUCCGCCCCUCGUCGCCGCCUGCAGUCCCCCGCGGCCGCCGCCUUGGCCACCGCCGCCGACGAGCCUGAGCCAGUGAGCUCACUGCAAAAAACUGCAGUUCGGAGCCAACUUCGCACGUGUUUUCCGGCCAACUCUGACCUCCGUUUCCGUCGAUUCCUUCGUCGGUGCAUAGCCCUUCGUGUUGUCUAUCACACGAUGUCGUUUCCGCGAAACCUGUCGUAACGCUGUGCAACCACCCCGACAACCUCUACUAUGGUCCACGAUAUACCCAAGGUUGUACGUCAGAUUUAGAGGACAGAUAACUACAUUUUGGAGUAGUACAUGAGCCAGAGGAUCCUCCACAGGAGUGCUUCGUAGAUCGAGCAGAAGAAGACGAAACUUAGUUAUUCUCUUUAGUUGUUCGAUAGUCUUAGCUUACUUUUAGUACUUUUUAUUUUUGCCUGAUCGAUGUAUUUUAUAUUUCUUCGGUAUUUCAUUCAGAUCAUUUUGUAUAAGGGCAUGUUUGGCCCGAAUAUUAU